rnacentral:sRNA from 1 species
UCCGUAUCUGUCAGGUUGCUUUCUGUGC